AACCACUAUCAGAGCAACAAUGGAGUCGUCUGCUGAUUUGAACACCACCGAUGGCUGCCAAAACAUCUUGAUGCUGCGUCACGGUGAUCGCAUUGACAAGAUCAACCCACUCUGGCCCGAUACAGCUUCGAGACCUUGGGACCCUCCUCUCGUUCAGGACGGUUUGGUUCGUGCGUUUCAAACUGGUCAGCGGAUCCGGUCUCAGAUCCAGUUUCCGAUCCACAGGGUCUUCGUCUCUCCCUUCAUCCGUUGCGUUCAGACUGCUUCAGAACUUAUCGCCGCUCUCUCUGCCGUUGACUUAAACCCUAACGCUACGUCGUCUAAAGACGUUCUUUCCAUCGAUAAAUCUAAGCUCAAGGUCAAGAUUUUAAUCAUUUCCAGUCUAUAAGUCUUGAACUAUGACUGUCUUCAGGGAAUGUCAUGAACAUAGACAACGGUCUGUGGUCCCCAGAUUUUAGGAAUAAUUUACAUAGACAUAAUUUUUUAUACUAAAUUUCAUAUAGCCCUCAAAAUCUCAGGACCGGUCUUAAUAACGGUUGUGAUGUAUGUAAUGGUAUAAACUAGUUAAGGUGGUUGGUUCUUGUCUGCUUCAGGUGUCUAUCGAGUUUGGUUUGAGUGAGAUGCUGAACAGUAUGGCUAUUAGGCCUAAGGUUGCUCCAAAAGAUGGAAAAUUCGAUUUUAAGAUUUCAGAUCUUGAAGCUAUGUUUCCUGAGGGAAUGGUGGAUCAUGACGUAGACCCUGUUUAUAAAGAGGUAAUCAAUCUCUCUAGACCUAGUCUUUGUUCUGUUUCUGUAUGUUGUUUUCUUGGAAGCAAUUUGAGUUAUAAACUUGAUGAUCUUCUUCUGAGUGUGUCAUGAUGGUUUUGUUCAGAUGCCACAAUGGGAAGAGACUGUGGAAGAAUGCACAGAACGGUUUCUUAGUUUGGUGAAGACUCUUGCUGAUAAGUACCCUUCAGAGAACUUGCUCUUAGUCACUCACGGUAAGCAAGACAUUCUUGGUUAUGUGGAUCUUGUACACUCACACUAUUGACUUGAUUAGUAAAAAAAUUCUGCUUCUCUAGAAAGAAAAUCUUUUUCUUUUCUUUCUUUUUUCUCUCAAGGUUUCAGUAUUCAGCAGCAAAAAAUCUUUGAUAAUCUCUUUCGUUAAUCGAAUGUUCAAAUGUGUGACUUGUAAGAACCUCUAUGUGCAGGGGAAGGAGUAAGGACUACAUUUGCAACCUAUAAAGACGUAGCUGUGUACGAGGUAGAGUAUUGUGCUUGUGCUGAACUGAGAAGACAGGUCUUGAGUCAAGAAGAGUCUACUAAAGCUGGAGACUUUGAAGUGAUCGGUCAAGCUGGAAUCAAGUACCAUUGCUUGAAAACCACAGCAGUACCAUGUGUGAAGUGGUAUUGAGUCAUGGUCAAGGUAGAGUAUUGUGCUUGUGCUGUACUAUUUGGUUGUAUUUGAGUUGCUUUUGUAUGAAUUAUGAAAUAAAUUUUUAAAGUUUGAUUCAGUCAAAUAAGAUAUUACAUUUCUUCUGCCAACAAAAGAACAUUAACAGAGAAACAAGGAUUGUCAUUACAUAUCAAAGUAGUUAAGAGUGUUGCUUGUGAAGCACAUCUAAAAACAAAGCUAGUUAGAGUCUGCGUUAAAUUAGACCUAAACACACACAUGCAGGGGGAAGCAAUCUAAUAGAAACAAACAACAACAACAACAACAAUCUAAGGACUCUGAUUUGGAUCGUCAACUUGAUCAAACAUGUCAGCCGGGAAAUCAUCUAAGAAAACAUCAGCUUCUUCUUCAUCAUCAUCCUUUGAAACAUGUCUACAUCUUCUCUCUGCAGGAGGCAGCUCAAAAAACGGCUGAGGGAGAGCGAACAACGGCUCAGAACAACCAGCCGGUCCGAGGAUAUCGUAGUAAUAAGGAUUGUCGAGUCUAGCCAAAAGCUCUCUGCUUUCUGGAUAGAAAGGGAUGGUCGCUUGCUGAUUAGCAAUAUGCGGCUCAGACAUGAGAGGAUCAUCAGUCCAAAAAGCGAAUGGCUGAUGUUCUAACUUGAUACCCAAUUCAGGCAACCUCAAAGCUUCAUCAACUUGGUCUGAUGAUGAGUAAGGAAGAAUCUUGGAAGAUGAAGAAGAAGCUGUAGUCACCUCUUCCUCAACCAAACCAAAACUCUGAAAGUGAAACACACACAAACUGAAAAAUCCUUUAUAAUAAUAAUUAAAAAUGUAUAUAUUUUAUCAUUUAGAAACAUAAUAUACCUGAGGGGGAUAGAAGUAUUGGAUUGGUUUAACGAAGUCAACAUUUUAAAAUAUAUUAAUAAAAAUAAUACAUUUAACGUUUUUUAUAUGGGGUUUUCGCAAAUAAGACUCAAAACUUGAAUUUAAACACAAAACUAACUCAUGCUUUUUUUUUAACUUUGAUUUGCCUCUUUCAUCCCAAAAGCUCAGAUUAUUCACGAAAAUGCCAUCACUUUUUCACUCUGGCUGAUAAGUACCCUUCAGAGAACUUGCUCUUAGUCACUCACGGUAAGCAAGGCAUUCUUGGUUCUGUUAUUGUACUGUACACACACACCUUUUGACUUUAUUAGUUUUAAAUCUCUGCUUUGCUUCUCUUUUUGUUACUAAGAUUUCAGUGUCCAUGUAGCAAAGCUGUUCUGUGGUUGCACUAGAGCAAAAAGUCUAUGAUAAUUAAUCGGUUUAUGUUCAAUCUCUCUGUGCAGGGGAAGGAGUAAGGACUACAUUUGCAACCUAUAAAAAAGUAGAUACGUACGACGUAGAGUACUGUGCGUGUGCUGAACUGAGAAGAAAGGUCUCGAGUCAAGACGGGUCUACUAAAGCUGGAGGCUUUGAGGUGAUGACAAGUCUUGGUGAAGUUGGAAUCAAGUACCAUUCCUUGACCACCACAGCAGACAAAUGAUCAUGUUCCCAACUCUCGAGUUGUGUCAGUGUCUCCAGAAGAUCAUCACGACAUUGGAAAACCGAAAUUAAACUAGAUACUGGAUAUUAAGAACGAGUGAUUCUAAACUCAAAUAAAAAGAUUUAUCGUCUGUCAUUUACAAAUUGCUUUGCGCUAGCCAAGACUUUGUUUUUAAUUUAUCUCUCGAAGAAUAAUGACGUUUUUUGUCAUCUAUCUCAAUAUAUUAAACCUGAUCAGUAAUAUGAUUGUCAUGAAGGAAGGACCAUAACUACAAGGUAGUCAUGAUUUAUAAAGAAAAAUAAGUAAUUUCGUGCUCGUGAUCCUUUUGCAAAAUAAUCUGCUCAGAAAUUUAUGUUACGUGAGAUUAAACAAAGACUGAAACAUCAAAAAUGAUCUUGUAUAAACUCCUACGUUACUUCUUGAUCUUGUAUGGCUGUUUCGAUAUAUUGUUACACUCUAACACUCUUUGAUGGAAUUUUCGGGGGAAGGAGUGGGAACAACAUUAUCCACGUUCUAUGAAGAUACAACUGUGUACGAAGUAGACUACUGUACUUAUGUUGAACUGAGAAGAGAGGUCUCAAGUACAAAAGCAAUUGAGUUAUGGUCAAGCUGGAAUCAGGUUUAGUCAUGAUCAUGUCAUAAGCCGAACACCGGUUUGGUCAGCUGUCUUCAGUUCUUCAUAUGUUUCUGUACUAUUUGGUUUGUAUUUGAGUUGCUUUUGUAUGAAUUAUAUAUGAAAUAUGUUUUCAAAGUUUGAUUCAAUCAAAUAAGAUUUUAUAUUUCUGCCAACAAAAGAACAUUAAUAGAGAACAAGGAUUAUCAUUACAUAACAAUGUAUGUAAUUAAGAGUGUUGCUUGUGAAGCACAUCUGAAAACAAAGCUAGUUAGAGUCUGCGUCAAUUAGACCUAAACACACACAUGCAGUGGGAAAUAAUAGAAACAACAACAGUCUUAAGAACUUCGAACUGAAUCAUCAACUUGAUCAAACAUGUCAGCCGGGAAAUCUUCAUCCUUUGAAACAUGUCUGCAUCUAAGUUCCGAUGAAUACCGACAAUUGCCCUAUAUAACCAUUCGUCGGUAUUUCGUAGGAAUAUUCAGACCACUUUCCGACAAAGCAGCGGUCAUCGGAAAUUUGCGAUGCAGUCCGACGAAAUAGCGAGGGAAAUAUAUAACCAUUAUGCGACCAUUUUAAAUGGUUUGAAUUGUUAACCAUCAUGGGAAAAUCGUCGGAAGUUCCGACUCAUUUUCGACGAAACUUUUGACUGUUGCUAAUAUUAAAGAAAAAAAAAAAAUUUCGACGACCGUUCCUUAAAUUUCCGACGAAAUUCCAACGAAAUAUAUGACUGUUUUACAGCCGUUUUAUGCUUUGAUACGUCUGAUGGAAUUCCAACGAAAAUUAAUUUAUUCCGUCAAAAUAUCAUCAAGAAUCUGUCGGUAACUUUCUUUUAUAAAUACGAGCUCCUCUCAUUCACUUCAUUCACUCUUCAUUCUCUCCUCACUCUCUUCACUCACUACAAAUCCAUAAAAAAUCAUGUCUUCUGGAAAUUAUUUUCGUUCGUGGAUGGAUUAACCUCAUUUGGAUCCAAACACCAAUUUGCUUACAGAAAAAUACGUAGAAGGUUUUGGCGAAUUCAUGAAGCGUUUUCAACAACAACCGGAAGCAAAUCUCGGUAUAAUAAGAUGUCUCUCAUCUUCCUGCAAUAAUAGUAGGGUUUUAAAAGAAUGAGAUAUUUGAACUCAUUUAUAUAUGAAAGGGUUUAUACGAAAUUAGAAGAUUUGGUAUCUUCACAGGAAAACGGUUAUGAAUAUGGUAAUAUUGCCUCGACAUGUUAAUAGGUUAGAAGAACCAAAUACAUAUGUAGAUUAUGGCGUAGAUACUGAGCAUAUGGUAAAUGAUCAUUAUAGAAGGGAAGAACUAAAUGCAGAAUCUGAAUGUAGAAAAACAAUUUUUGUAUAAAUGUUGUAAAGAUGGUCAUUCAACUUUAUCAUCUUCAACAAGAUUAAUAGAUACUAAGACAGAUUAUAAUUUGACUGAAGUAAUCACGGCCAGCUGCUAACGUUUUGUAAUUUAAAAAUCUAAUUCUAUGAUUUAAAUAUAUAUUAAAAAUAUUAAUAAUAUUUGAUGAAACACAUGUUUUAAUUCUUUACGUCAUGUGUACUAUAUAUACUUCCAACGUGCACGCCACCAACCACUAUCAGAGCAACAAUGGAGUCGUCUGCUGAUUUGAACACCACCGAUGGCUGCCAAAACAUCUUGAUGCUGCGUCACGGUGAUCGCAUUGACAAGAUCAACCCACUCUGGCCCGAUACAGCUUCGAGACCUUGGGACCCUCCUCUCGUUCAGGACGGUUUGGUUCGUGCGUUUCAAACUGGUCAGCGGAUCCGGUCUCAGAUCCAGUUUCCGAUCCACAGGGUCUUCGUCUCUCCCUUCAUCCGUUGCGUUCAGACUGCUUCAGAACUUAUCGCCGCU
rnacentral:lncRNA from 1 species